rnacentral:rRNA from 1 species
UACGGAGGGUGCAAGCGUUGUCCGGAUUUAUUGGGUUUAAAGGGUGCGUAGGCGGCCUAUUAAGUCAGUGGUGAAAUCCUGCAGCUUAACUGUAGAACAGCCAUUGAUACUGAUGGGCUUGAGUUCAGACGAGGUAGGCGGAAUUUAUGGUGUAGCGGUGAAAUGCAUAGAUACCAUAAAGAACACCGAUUGCGAAGGCAGCUUACUAGACUGACACUGACGCUGAGGCACGAAAGCGUGGGGAU